rnacentral:rRNA from 1 species
GAAAGUUGCAAAGAACUUUCAAGAGAGAGUUCAAUAGGACGUGAAACCGUUUGCAGGUAUACAGAUGGACCCACGAAGUCCUGUUGUGUUAGAAAUUCAAAUCUUUCGAUUUGUUCUCUGCUGAUUCUCUUUUCCUUCACGGAGAAGAUGUUGGUCUGUGGGCUGUCGAAUGAUGCAUUUUUCCAGCUCACGAAGGAGCUCUGGCUGCUGUCCAAACUUAGUUGCGUAGGGCAGCCUCGGUAUGUGAGAUGUAUUCUAGGAUACACUUCUACAUAUUCAGGUUCACGAACGAGUUGGAUGAAGCGGGUGAAUUACUCACUUAGGUUAGUGUUCAGGUUGUCAGCAUUCUUGAGCAUGGAGAAUAUGCUGGUCUCUUGGCUUUCGACUCUUGCAGUUGAAGCUACGGGAAGCAGUGUA